rnacentral:rRNA from 1 species
UACAGAGACUGCAAGCGUUAUUCGGAUUCACUGGGCGUAAAGGGUGCGCAGGCGGUCGUGUGUGUCAGAUGUGAAAUCCCGAGGCUCAACCUCGGAACUGCGUCUGAAACUACUCGACUAGAGUACUGGAGAGGGUAACGGAAUUCACGGUGUAGCAGUGAAAUGCGUAGAUAUCGUGAGGAACACCAGAGGCGAAGGCGGUUACCUGGACAGUUACUGACGCUCAGGCACGAAAGCAUGGGGAGCAAAAGGG